AUAUUCUGCCCCACGGGAAGGAUGAAAGCUUCGACCAAGGUUCGACUCGAGCGAAGCGAGAGUUACCGCAGGCAAUGGCCCGAGGCGAGGCGCUUUAGCGCCGGUAAUCCUUCCCCACCACUU
rnacentral:sRNA from 1 species